CCUUGUCACGUAUAACCGGGGAUUCGAAACCACGCCAGUUGACUAAAUGACAGGUCGUCACCAUUCGGCCAUCCAACCCCCCAAAAAUGGUGUUGAAAUGGGUGUUUUUGUGAAUGCGCUUAGAAAUACUCAUGUGUAAUGAAGUGCUAUAAUUGAACCAUAAUAAUAAUAUAGUAGGCCUAGUGGACUCCUCCGUCUCAUUUUGGUUGAAUGUUUGGAAAUUUGAUGGCUAAUUAGAUUUAGGACACUCUGGCAUAUUUUCUAGGCUUGGCUUCAUGUGGCCUGUUUUCCAUGCAUACAAGAAUUAACCAAUUAGAAGUUAAACAAAAUAAAAUCUGCUCCAAAAUAUUACAAUACUUUUUUUUAUUUCAUUGCCCAAAACACCUUUACAGCCUGAAUGUUAAUUUUGGGGCAGCGUUUAACUGCAUGGGUGGUAAUUGAAUUUAUUAAAUUGACUAACUUUUGCACAAUAAGUAAAUAUAAAUUAUCUUAAUACCCCAACUCAGACAAGUUAGUGGCCUUUCAAACCAAUUUAAAUUCGGUCAAAAUUUGUAGAAAUUUAGAUAUUAUUUUAUUGCAUGUGUGUACAAUUUGUUAUGUGUCUAAGCUCUGUUACCACAAAAAAUAUAUUUAAUUUAGUCCUUAUAGUAGAUUCUAUCACACGUUUGAAAGUUGUCCAACGGUCGAAUAAAUAUGUUGUAGUUUGACCUAGAUAAAUAUAAGACUGGGAAAAUAAAUAUAAAAAAAAUUCCGACAUCUUAAAAGUAGAUACCUAUAUUCGCAAUGGAAAUAUUAUUUUAAAAAUCGGGAUUAUUUAAUUUGAUACAACUGAAUAAAAUGGCUCUAGUCGAUCUAUUUAAAAAAACAUCAACCAAAUAUACGAGUUGGGCAACUGCCAGUGCAGUACUGCAUCCGUCGUGAUCCGAAUAAAGCUUAUAUUGUCCACAUUGAUUAAACUAUCAUUAUUAAAAUCAUUUUGAUUCUUCUAUAUUUGUACGUACUUUUUUACAACUCUGAACCCGGAAGCGAGGUAUUCUGGGAAGGGUAUUUUAAAGAUGGCGGGCGUUUUGUUAUUUAUUCGUGGAGUGCAUGAGAAAUGUUCAAUAUACAGCUACUUGGAUUACACAAACAGAGAAAGAUAGAUUAUACCAGUUAAAUUGAGAGGUUUUAUUUGAAAACCCUAUAUUUGAGCACCAUUCAUGGCAGUCAUGUCGAGGAAGUUAUAAAAAGGCUGAUAAGGGCUUUGUAUAUGGAAGCUAGAUGACAUUACUACUUAUCAUACACAACUAUUUGUCACAUACCGACUUGGGAUUGAAACCAAGCGACUGAACUCAAUAACACUCCUCAAUAACACUCGUCUAUGAAACCACCCAGAUGGCAAAGAAAUAAAGACUUUUUAAUUAUGUAACGAACUCAUAUAUGUAUCUAUGGUAGCACAAAAUUCACCAGAAUGUAGGCCAAAGCUUUACUUUACAAGCAGUAGGCUUAAAAUAUUUUCCGUCUGAUCUUGUAAGAGUCAAUUGUUUAUGAAUAGUUUGCCUCAAGCAGAUAUCCUGUCACUGUGUCACAGUAUCAUAUAACCGCUCUUUGGCUUGAACUGAGUUGUAUCAGUGAGUUGAAAAUCUACUGCAGCCAGUAUAUUAGAUUCAAAAUUCUAACGAGCUUUCGUCUAACUUCUAACUUCUGUUCAUGUAUUUUUUAACUUCUAUUCAUGUAAUUUCUAACUUCUAUUCAUGUAUUUUGUUAAAUUAAGACAAUGUAUAAUCCAACUUCUUUAUU